GCAGCCAUGCCGCGUGUGUGAAGAAGGCCUUCGGGUUGUAAAGCACUUUCAGCGAGGAGGAAAGGUUAACGGUUAAUACCCGUUAGCUGUGACGUUACUCGCAGAAGAAGCACCGGCUAACUUCGUGCCAGCAGCCGCGGUAAUACGAGGGGUGCAAGCGUUAAUCGGAAUUACUGGGCGUAAAGCGUACGCAGGCGGUUUGUUAAGCGAGAUGUGAAAGCCCCGGGCUCAACCUGGGAACUGCAUUUCGAACUGGCAAACUAGAGUCUUGUAGAGGGGGGUAGAAUUUCAGGUGUAGCGGUGAAAUGCGUAGAGAUCUGAAGGAAUACCGGUGGCGAAGGCGGCCCCCUGGACAAAGACUGACGCUCAGGUACGAAAGCGUGGGGAGCAAACAGGAUUAGAUACCCUGGUAGUCCACGCCGUAAACGAUGUCUACUCGGAAUUUGGUGUCUUGAACACUGGGUUCUCAAGCUAACGCAUUAAGUAGACCGCCUGGGGAGUACGGCCGCAAGGUUAAAACUCAAAUGAAUUGACGGGGGCCCGCACAAGCGGUGGAGCAUGUGGUUUAAUUCGAUGCAACGCGAAGAACCUUACCUACUCUUGACAUCCUCAGAACUUUUCAGAGAUGAAUUGGUGCCUUCGGGAACUGAGAGACAGGUGCUGCUGGGCUUGUCGGAAAAAGUGAUGCAUGGGCUGUCGGAGGU
rnacentral:rRNA from 1 species